GCAGUGGUAGUUCAGUGGUAGAAUUCUUGCCUUCCCUAUGGGAGACCCAGGUUUGACUCCUGGCCAAUGCA
rnacentral:tRNA from 1 species